rnacentral:rRNA from 1 species
ACGGGAGGCAGCAGUGGGGAAUAUUGCACAAUGGGCGCGAGCCUAAUGCAGCGAUGCCGCGUGAGGGAAGAAGGUUUUCGGAUUGUAAACCUCUGUCAACAGGGACGAAAAUGACGGUACCUGUGAAGGAAGCUCCGGCUAACUACGUGCCAGCAGCCGCGGUAAUACGUAGGGAGCAAGCGUUAUCCGGAAUUACUGGGUGUAAAGGGAGUGUAGGCGGGACUGUAAGUCAGAUGUGAAAUAUGCCGGCUCAACUGGCAGACUGCAUUUGAAACUGCGGUUCUUGAGUGAAGUAGAGGUAAGCGGAAUUCCUAGUGUAGCGGUGAAAUGCGUAGAUAUUAGGAGGAACAUCAGUGGCGAAGGCGGCUUACUGGGCUUUAACUGACGCUGAGGCUCGAAAGCGUGGGGAGCAAACAGGAUUAGAUACCCUGGUA